rnacentral:rRNA from 1 species
GUUAUAUGGUCAAGUGAAGAAGCGCAUACGGUGGAUGCCUUGGCAGUCAGAGGCGAUGAAAGACGUGGUAGCCUGCGAAAAGCUUCGGGGAGUCGGCAAACAGACUUUGAUCCGGAGAUCUCUGAAUGGGGGAACCCACCUAGGAUAACCUAGGUAUCUUGUACUGAAUCCAUAGGUGCAAGAGGCGAACCAGGGGAACUGAAACAUCUAAGUACCCUGAGGAAAAGAAAUCAACCGAGAUUCCCUUAGUAGUGGCGAGCGAACGGGGAUUAGCCCUUAAGCUUCAUUGAUUUUAGCGGAACGCUCUGGAAAGUGCGGCCAUAGUGGGUGAUAGCCCCGUACGCGAAAGGAUCUUUGAAGUGAAAUCGAGUAGGACGGAGCACGAGAAACUUUGUCUGAACAUGGGGGGACCAUCCUCCAAGGCUAAAUACUACUGACUGACCGAUAGUGAACCAGUACCGUGAGGGAAAGGCGAAAAAGAACCCCGGAGAGGGGAGUGAAAUAGAACCUGAAACCGUAUGCGUACAAGCAGUGGGAGCCUACUUGUUAGGUGACUGCGUACCUUUUGUAUAAUGGGUCAGCGACUUAUAUUCAGUGGCAAGCUUAACCGUAUAGGGUAGGCGUAGCGAAAGCGAGUCUUAAUAGGGCGUUUAGUCGCUGGGUAUAGACCCGAAACCGGGCGAUCUAUCCAUGAGCAGGUUGAAGGUUAGGUAACACUGACUGGAGGACCGAACCCACUCCCGUUGAAAAGGUAGGGGAUGACUUGUGGAUCGGAGUGAAAGGCUAAUCAAGCUCGGAGAUAGCUGGUUCUCCUCGAAAGCUAUUUAGGUAGCGCCUCAUGUAUCACUCUGGGGGGGUAGAGCACUGUUUCGGCUAGGGGGUCAUCCCGACUUACCAAACCGAUGCAAACUCCGAAUACCCAGAAGUGCCGAGCAUGGGAGACACACGGCGGGUGCUAACGUCCGUCGUGAAAAGGGAAACAACCCAGACCGCCAGCUAAGGUCCCAAAGUUGUGGUUAAGUGGUAAACGAUGUGGGAAGGCUUAGACAGCUAGGAGGUUGGCUUAGAAGCAGCCACCCUUUAAAGAAAGCGUAAUAGCUCACUAGUCGAGUCGGCCUGCGCGGAAGAUGUAACGGGGCUCAAACCACACACCGAAGCUGCGGGUGUCACGUAAGUGACGCGGUAGAGGAGCGUUCUGUAAGCCUGUGAAGGUGAGUUGAGAAGCUUGCUGGAGGUAUCAGAAGUGCGAAUGCUGACAUGAGUAACGACAAUGGGUGUGAAAAAACACCCACGCCGAAAGACCAAGGGUUCCUGCGCAACGUUAAUCGACGCAGGGUUAGUCGGUUCCUAAGGCGAGGCUGAAAAGCGUAGUCGAUGGGAAACAGGUUAAUAUUCCUGUACUUCUGGUUACUGCGAUGGAGGGACGGAGAAGGCUAGGCCAGCUUGGCGUUGGUUGUCCAAGUUUAAGGUGGUAGGCUGAAAUCUUAGGUAAAUCCGGGGUUUCAAGGCCGAGAGCUGAUGACGAGUCGUCUUUUAGAUGACGAAGUGGUUGAUGCCAUGCUUCCAAGAAAAGCUUCUAAGCUUCAGGUAACCAGGAACCGUACCCCAAACCGACACAGGUGGUCGGGUAGAGAAUACCAAGGCGCUUGAGAGAACUCGGGUGAAGGAACUAGGCAAAAUGGCACCGUAACUUCGGGAGAAGGUGCGCCGGCUAGGGUGAAGGAUUUACUCCGUAAGCCCUGGCUGGUCGAAGAUACCAGGCCGCUGCGACUGUUUAUUAAAAACACAGCACUCUGCAAACACGAAAGUGGACGUAUAGGGUGUGACGCCUGCCCGGUGCCGGAAGGUUAAUUGAUGGGGUUAGCGCAAGCGAAGCUCUUGAUCGAAGCCCCGGUAAACGGCGGCCGUAACUAUAACGGUCCUAAGGUAGCGAAAUUCCUUGUCGGGUAAGUUCCGACCUGCACGAAUGGCGUAACGAUGGCGGCGCUGUCUCCACCCGAGACUCAGUGAAAAUUGAAAUCGCUGUGAAGAUGCAGUGUAUCCGCGGCUAGACGGAAAAGACCCCGUGAACCUUUACUGUAGCUUUGCACUGGACUUUGAGCCUGCUUGUGUAGGAUAGGUGGGAGGCUUUGAAGCGUGGACGCCAGUUCGCGUGGAGCCAUCCUUGAAAUACCACCCUGGCAUGCUUGAGGUUCUAACUCUGGUCCGUGAUCCGGAUCGAGGACAGUGUAUGGUGGGCAGUUUGACUGGGGCGGUCUCCUCCUAAAGAGUAACGGAGGAGUACGAAGGUGCGCUCAGACCGGUCGGAAAUCGGUCGUAGAGUAUAAAGGCAAAAGCGCGCUUGACUGCGAGACAGACACGUCGAGCAGGUACGAAAGUAGGUCUUAGUGAUCCGGUGGUUCUGUAUGGAAGGGCCAUCGCUCAACGGAUAAAAGGUACUCCGGGGAUAACAGGCUGAUACCGCCCAAGAGUUCAUAUCGACGGCGGUGUUUGGCACCUCGAUGUCGGCUCAUCACAUCCUGGGGCUGAAGCCGGUCCCAAGGGUAUGGCUGUUCGCCAUUUAAAGUGGUACGCGAGCUGGGUUUAGAACGUCGUGAGACAGUUCGGUCCCUAUCUGCCGUGGACGUUUGAGAUUUGAGAGGGGCUGCUCCUAGUACGAGAGGACCGGAGUGGACGAACCUCUGGUGUUCCGGUUGUCACGCCAGUGGCAUUGCCGGGUAGCUAUGUUCGGAAAAGAUAACCGCUGAAAGCAUCUAAGCGGGAAACUUGCCUCAAGAUGAGAUCUCACUGGGAACUUGAUUCCCCUGAAGGGCCGUCGAAGACUACGACGUUGAUAGGCUGGGUGUGUAAGCGUUGUGAGGCGUUGAGCUAACCAGUACUAAUUGCCCGUGAGGCUUGACCAUAUAACACCCAAACA